rnacentral:rRNA from 1 species
CUGACUGCUAUCGGAUUGGUACUAAGCCAUGCGAGUCAUUGUAGCAAUACAAGGCGGACGGCUCAGUAACACGUAGUCAACCUAACCUAUGGACGUGGAUAACCUCGGGAAACUGAGAAUAAUCCGCGAUAGAUCAUAAUGCCUGGAACGGUUUAUGGUCCAAAUGAUUCGUCGCCAUAGGAUGGGACUGCGGCCUAUCAGCUUGUUGGUGAGGUAAUGGCCCACCAAGGCUAUUACAGGUACGGGCUCUGAGAGGAGAAGCCCGGAGAUGGGUACUGAGGCACGGACCCAGGCCCUAUGGGGCGCAGCAGGCGAGAAACCUUUGCAAUGUGCGCAAGCACGACAAGGUUAAUCCGAGUGUUUCCUGCUAAAGGAAUCUUUUGUUAGUUCUAAAACCACUGAUGAAUAAGGGGUGGGCAAGUUCUGGUGUCAGCCGCCGCGGUAAAACCAGCACCUCAAGUGGUCAGGAGGAUUAUUGGGCCUAAAGCAUCCGUAGCCGGUUCUGUAAGUUUUCGGUUAAAUCCACUAGCUCAACUAAUGGGCUGCCGGAAAUACUGCAGAACUAGGGAGUGGGAGAGGUAGACGGUACUCGGGAGGAAGGGGUAAAAUCCUUUGAUCUCUUGAUGACCACCUGUGGCGAAGGCGGUCUACCAGAACACGUUCGACGGUGAGGGAUGAAAGCUGGGGGAGCAAACCGGAUUAGAUACCCGGGUAGUCCCAGCUGUAAACGAUGCAGACUCGGUGAUGCACUGGCUUUUGGCCAGUGCAGUGCCGCAGGGAAGCCGUUAAGUUUGCCGCCUGGGAAGUACGUACGCAAGUAUGAAACUUAAAGGAAUUGGCGGGGGAGCACCACAAGGGGUGAAGCCUGCGGUUCAAUUGGAGUCAACGCC